AACGAACGCUGGCGGCAUGCCUAACACAUGCAAGUCGAACGAGACCUUCGGGUCUAGUGGCGCACGGGUGCGUAACGCGUGGGAACCUGCCCUUAGGUUCGGAAUAACUCCCCGAAAGGUGUGCUAAUACCGGAUAAUGUCUUCGGACCAAAGAUUUAUCGCCAUUGGAUGGGCCCGCGUUGGAUUAGCUAGUUGGUAGGGUAAAAGCCUACCAAGGCGACGAUCCAUAGCUGGUCUGAGAGGAUGAUCAGCUACACUGGGACUGAGACACGGCCCAGACUCCUACGGGAGGCAGCAGUGGGGAAUAUUGUACAAGGGGCGAAAGCCUGAUCCAGCAAUGCCGGGUGAGAGAUGAAGGCCUUAGGGUUGUAAAGCUCUUUUACCCGGGAUGAUAAUGACAGUACCGGGAGAAUAAGCUCCGGCUAACUCCGUG
rnacentral:rRNA from 1 species